CACGUAGGGCGCAAGCGUUGUCCGGGAAUUAUUGGGCGUAAAGAGCUCGUAGGCGGUCUGUUGCGUCCGCUGUGAAAACCCGGGGCUUAACCCUGGGCUGGCAGUGGAUACGGACAGACUAGAGGUAGGUAGGGGAGAAUGGAAUUCCCGGUGUAGCGGUGAAAUGCGCAGAUAUCAGGAGGAACACCAAUUGCGAAGGCAGCUCGCUGGGACGUUACUGACGCUGAGACGCGAAAGCGUGGGGAGCAAACAGG
rnacentral:rRNA from 1 species